rfam:[Oscillatoria] sp. PCC 6506, WGS project CACA01000000 data, contig: Contig211
GAGCCGGACUUACGCGAUUGUAACGCCCAAACUUUGUCAGGGCCGGAAGGCAGCAGCAAUACGGGAUGCUUGCAAUAGGCGUGAACUCCGGUUCACC